GUGCUCGCUUUGGCAGCACAUAUAUUAAAAUUGCAAUGAUAUAGAGAAGAUUAGCAUGGCCCCUGCACAAGGAUGACACGCAAAUUCGUGAAGCAUUCCAUAUUUUU
ensembl:snRNA U6 U6 spliceosomal RNA